GUGUUUUAGGGAACAGGCAGGAUAAGGAAGAGACGCGAGGUCACAGCAGGACUGAGGAAUGAAGAUAAUAGUGACAACUAACAUUAACCGCCUGACUGCAGUAAGUCAGGCACUGGAUAAGCACCUGACACUCAUUUAUCCUGUGGACUCCUCAGGAGGAUGAGUGGCAUUGGUUUUCACGUGGUCCACCUGAGGAAACCACAGCAUGUGUUUCAGAGCCGGGAUUCAAACCCAGGUAGGCUGACCCGCAGCCCACGCACGCACUUAACCUGCCACCACCUGUGUAGAAACCAAGUGAGAAGGCACAAAAGCAGCAACGAGCAGGCCCAACUUUGAGGAAAUGAGGAGGAGGGAAGGUCGACUACCUACUGAGUGCCUGUCCCGUCACAGGCCCUCCCUAGUCGUCAAAUUAAGCUUGUUCAAUGAAUGAAACAAGGAGGCGUUAGACUGUGGUGGCUCUAAGGCCGAGGCGGCUAGGUCUGCCCUGCCAAGUUCUCUGGGAAUCCCUCACACUGUGCCUCAUUUGUGUUCACAAACAAGUGUCUCCCAUGGACUUUUUCUCCUGCUCUUUUCCCACUUCCAGAAGCUGACUGGCUUACAUUUCCCACAUCUGACGAUGCGCCUUCAUGACCCAUCAUGUCUGUGAGGCUCCCAGAGCUAUUUGCCGACACUUGAAGACCCAGAGUAGCACUCGCUUCUGUAAGUUUACUAUUAGCGGAAAAUACUCUUUAUUCCGUGGUGAUCAUGACACCUUCAAGAAGACACCUUAACGGAAAAAAAGGAACCUAGGUUGUUCUAGGAACGCUAUGCUUAUGUGCAGGGACAAUGCCUUCUUGCCACAGCGACCGCUUGCUUUCGCAUAGAAUGGCUCCUGAAUUAAGAAUACUGUUCGCAGGGCCACCCCGCCGGGAGCAAGGCUGUGACAGCCGCGGAACUGCUUACCUGCGGGGAGAGUCAGCUUGUGCGAUGUUCUCCCUGCACCAGAAGGAGAAAACUAAUCCCAGCCAGUUCUAUUUAAAUGAAUAAUGAUCUGGGGUCACUUCGCAUCCUGUGGAGGUUAACGACU
rnacentral:lncRNA from 1 species